rnacentral:rRNA from 1 species
AUGGCACAAAUUGACAAGAGGAUACCUCAAGUUGGUAUGAGAUUCAAAGAUUCAAAUGAGGCUUGGAUGUUUUGGGUAGAAUAUGGGGGUCACAUAGGCUUCGAUGUGAGGAAAAGAUGCACCAACAAAAGCAAAUUUGAUGGAAAGGUGACUUCAUGCAGAUUUGUUUGUUCCAAUGAGGGUCUUAGAAGGAAAUGUCAAACCGAACGUGAGCCAAAGCGUUUUAGAGCUGAAACAAGAACUGAUUGUCUAGUUCGGAUGGUUAUUACAUUGGAUCGAGCGACAGAAAAUUAUGAAAUUACUGAAGUUGUGUUGGAACACAACCACUACCUUCAAUUGCCACAAACCCGCCACUUGUUGGUUUCACAAAGAAAGAUUUCAGAACUGCAAGCUUUCGAGAUAGAAACCGCUGAUGAUUCUGGAAUUAUGCCAAAACCCGCACAUGAGUUUGCUUGUCGUAAAGUUGGUGGGCCGCUUAACCUUGGCUAUACUUGCCGGGACCAAAAGAAUCAUUUGCGAAGCAAGAGACAGAGAGAAUUGGCUUUUGGACAGGCUGGGAGUAUGUUGAAGUAUUUUCGCGACAAAGUUGCUGAGAAUCCAUCAUUUCAAUAUGCGUUGCAGCUCGAUUGUGAGGAGAAUAUUGCCAACAUAUUCUGGCUUGAUGCUAAAAUGUUACUUGAUUAUGCACACUUUGGUGAUGUCACAUUUGACACCACAUUUGGCACAAAUAAAGAGUAUAGGCCAUUUGGUAUUUUUCUUGGGCUCAAUCAGUUUAGAGAAACCACCAUUUUUGGUGCUGCCUUGAUGUUUGAUGAAACACGAGACUCGUUUAUAUGGCUCUUCGAGAGUUUUCUAGCAGCACAUAAUGGAAGACAACCUAGAACUAUUUAUACGGAUCAAGAUAUAGCAAUGGGAAAAGCUAUAGAGCAUGUCUUCACGCAAUCAUAUCAUGGAUUGUGCACCUUCCACAUAAUGCAAAAUGCUGUCAAACAUUUAUCUUCAGUGAAGGACGAAGAGGAAGAUGAAGUGGAAGAUGAAGAAAAGGAGACUCACAUUCUCACUGAUUUUGGUGCAUGUAUGUAUGGCUAUGAGGACAAGGCAGAAUUUGAAGAAGCGUUUGAUAAUAUGAGACAAAAGGUGCAUAAGCAAACUUGGUUAGAUAGUAUCUACAAGGUGAAGGAAAAAUGGGCUGAAUGUUAUAUGAGAGAUGUCUUCAGUUUGGGAGUGAGGAGUACACAACUAAGUGAGAGCUUCAACAUUGCAUUGAAGAAUCAUUUGAAAUCAGAUUUCCAUAUUGUUCGAUUCUUGAUGCACUUUGAGAGGACGAUGGAAGUGAAAAGAAGAAAGGAAUUGGAAUCUGAAUUUGAGGCAAGGAAAAAAUUACCAAGAAUCAAAAUGUUCACACCUAUGUUGGUGCAAGCAAGCAAAGUGUAUACUCCAAUUAUUUUUGAAGCUUUCCAAGGUGAGUAUGAAAGAUCCAUGGCUGCAUGUUGUAGAGUAUUGGAUGGAAAUAACAAAUUUGGUGUUGCUAUUGGGAGUUUGCAUGAUGAUUUACAGUUCGAGGAGGAGCGCAUAGUGAUAGGUGAUCCUUUGACCCAAACCAUUUCAUGUAGUUGUGGAAUGUUCAAUAGGGCAGGAGUAUUGUGUGGACAUGGUCUCAAAGUUCUUGAUUUGCUGAAUAUAAAGACAAUGCCAACACAUUAUGUCUUAAAGAGAUUGACUAGAGAAGCACGCAAUGGAAGUAUACAAGAUAGGCAAGGAAGGAAUGUUGUAGAAAAUCCAAAACUAGAAGCUCAACUUCGGUACCAGGAUUUGUCUCAUAAAUUUCACAAUUUGGCACAUAAAGCAGCCAACUAUUUAGAAUGUUGUGUGCUAUUGGAGAAUGCACAUGAUUCCGUUGCUCCACAAAUAGAGGAUAAACUCAACGCAACUACUAGUGCUAUGAAUGAACCAUGUAAAGACAAGGAAAAUGUUGAACCAAAUGUCCAGCAAACAAAUGAGUUUCUUUGUUCCGCACAACUAAAGAAAAAAGAGGUUCAAUCAAGAAAUUUAAGGAGAAAGAAAGGUUGGCUUGAGAAGUUACUCAAGGGGAAGCGCAAGUCAACUAAAACUACCGCACCAACAAAAAAAGGAGCAAAGAAGCAACAAAAGAAGGGGAAGCCUCAAGUGGAAGUGGAGAAGGAUGACAAGAACAAAGGAGCAAACUUGGAGUUUCAAGAGUGCAAUGCAAUCUUCAGUUUCACCCAACUCUUGACAACUCCACCUUGUGAUGUUCAUCAUUUGUUUUAG